GUAGUCCGAGGAUGAGCUGAGGCUCGUAUUGGCUGAACUGGAGCCUCGCAGGCGUUUGGAUGGGGCGCGGAGGAGCGGCGUCCCUGGGAGCCGCGGGGCGCAGGGACAGUGUACUGUCACUUCCUCUAAGCACCAGUCAUAGUGCAUGACAUGUUGAAGCAAGGAGGCUGCUGCAAUAACUGGGCACUUUCAUCUUGAAAAGGGACAACUUUCCAUGGUUUUUGCAUUCAUUCCCACUUUCUCUUCCUGCUUACUCAUUACAGAGAUAGCUGCAGUGUCUCUCUCUUGGUAAUUCACAGGGUGUCAAUGUCAGGUUAGGAAGCUGGUAACAGUGAAGAUCUUUUUGUUGUCAUUGUCUUCGCUUGAAGUACCCACAAAGAUCCCAGCAAAAGCCAGCAAAGGGAGAAGGACCUACUUGGCUACACAAUGAGGGAAGGUUGUUCCCCUCUUCCUAAUUCUGUGUCUUCUCAUCCAAACACCUCUUUGGAAGAUCCCAGGCCAUCCACUUCUGCUAUGGCACUAGAGGAACUGGAUAGUCCCAAACGACAUGGGAAACUACAAAGGAAAGGAAUGGAGACCAGAGAUGCUUCAACAGUUCUGGCACCAACAUCACAGCCAAAGGAGGGAAGUACCAGCAUGGAGGCCUUCCGACUCUCCCUGGAGGACCUCAGGGUAGCAGUCCUCCAGAACUUGAAAUCCAUGAACCGUCGUCUUGAGGCACAAAACAGAAGACUCUGCGCCCUGGAAGAAUGGAGGGCAGACUCAGAGGCCCAUAGAAAUGGUUUGCCCUAACCCUCCACGUUCUUCAGUCCUCCACCUUGCUUCAUUUUCGAUUUAUUUUCGAUUUUUUAAUGUAUUUAAGUAAACCUUUUGGUGAAGGGGAGCAUCAAAUAAAUGUAUUGUCUUAUUUAUUUUAUUCA
rnacentral:lncRNA from 1 species